UACGUAGGGGGCAAGCGUUGUCCGGAUUUAUUGGGCGUAAAGAGCUCGUAGGUGGUUCGGUAAGUCGGAUGUGAAAUCUCCAGGCUCAACCUGGAGGGGUCAUUCGAUACUGCCGUGACUAGAGGUCGGUAGGGGAGUGUGGAAUUCCUGGUGGAGCGGUGAAAUGCGCAGAUAUCAGGAGGAACACCCGUAGCGAAGGCGGCACUCUGGGCCGAUUCUGACACUGAGGAGCGAAAGCGUGGGGAGCGAACAGG
rnacentral:rRNA from 1 species